CACACUCAUCGUAGCAGAGAGGCAGGAACAGCUGGGCGAGGGUCCUUCUGUGACAUCUACUGCAUCACUGGGCUCUGUGAAGUGACUCAGCUGCCAGAACUCACACAAUAUUCUGCACCAAAACCUCACGGGAAAAAUGCAUCACGAACCUCAGACUUAAACAGCACAACAGGCUCCUCCCAGGUCUCCAGCUACACAACCCUCAGACUUAAACAACAGCAGCGGCACCAGCUCCUCCCUGGGUCUCCAGCUCCACAAACCUCAAAUUAGAACAGCAGCACUGGCUACACCCAGUCUCCAGCUCUACACCUCUAACUUGAACUACAGCCACCAGCUCCUUCCUGGGUCUCCGGCUCCACAGACCUUAAACGAAAACAGCAGCACUGGCUCCUCCCCAGGUCCCCAGCUACAGACCCUCAAACAAGAAGAACAGCAGCACCAGCUCCACCUAAAGUCUCCAGCUCCACACCUCAAACUAGAACUUCAGCACCCGCUCCUCCCCGAGUCUCAAUAUCUGUGACCCUCAAAAUAAAACAGCAGGACCAGCUCCUCCUCUGGUCUUCAGCUUCACGACCUUAACUGUAACAGCACCACCCGCUCCUCCGGGGUCAACAGCUCCGACGCUAAAACUAGAACAGCAGACCAGCUUCUACCUAAAACACCAGCUCCGAGACUCUCAAACAAGAACAGCAGCACUGACUUCUCUCACCAGGUCUCCAGCUCCACGAUCCUGAAACUUGAACGGCAGCACCCGCUCCUCCCCGGGUCUCCAGCUCCACGAACCUCAAACUUGAACAGCAGCACCCGCUCCUCCCAGCGUCUCCAGCUCCAUGAACCUCAAACUUGAACAGCAGUACCCGCUCCUCCCCGGGUCUCCAGCUCCACGAACCUCAAACUUGAACAGCAGCACUCGCUCCUCCCAAGGUCUCCAGCUCUGCGAACCUCAAACUUGAACUGCAGCACCUGCUCCUCCCCGGGUCUCCAGCUCCACGAACCUUAAACUAAAACAGCAGUACUCACUCCUCCCCAGAUCCCCAGCUGCAGACCCUCAAGCUGCAACAGCAGCACCAUCUCCUCUCCAGGUCUCCAGCUCCAUGGACCUUAAACUAGAACAGCAGCACCAGCUCCUCCUUGGGACAACAGCUCCAAGACCCUCAAACUACAACAGCAGCCCUGACUCCUGCCCAGGUUUACAGCUCCACAAACGUCAAACUUGAACUUCAGCACUAGCUGAAGUCUCCAGCUCCCUGACCCUCAAACUAGAACAGCAGCACCAUCUCCUCUCUGGGUCUCCAGCUCCACGAACCUCAAACUUGAACUGCAGCACCUGCUCCUCCCUGGAUCUCCAGCUCCACGGACCUUAAACUAAAACAGCAGUACUCGCUCCUCCCCAGGUCCCCAGCUGCAGACCCUCAAACUGCAACAGCAGCACCAUCUCCUCUCUGGGUCUCCAGCUCCAUGGACCUUAAACUAGAACAGCAGCACCAGCUCCUCUCCUGGUCUCCAGCUCCAGGACCCUAAAACUAGAACAGCAGCACCAGCUCCUCCUUGGGACAACAGCUUUAAGACCCUCAAACUACAACAGCAGCCCUGACUCCUGCCCAGGUUUACAAACCUCAAACUUGAACUUCAGCACUGGCUGAAGUCUCCAGCCCCAUGACCCUCAAACUAGAACAGCAGCACCAUCUCCUCUCUGGGUCUCCAGCUCCAUGGACCUUAAACUAAAACAGCAGCACCAGCUCCUCCCGAGGUCCCCAUCUACAGACCCUCAAACUACAGCAGCACCAGCUCCACCCAAAGUCUCCAGCUCCCCACCUCAAACUAGAACUCCAGCACCCGCUCCUCCCCGAGUCUCAAUAUCCGCCACUCUCAAACAGCAGCACCGGCUCCUCCCCUGGUCUUCAGCUUCACGACCCUAACUAUAACAGCACCACCCGCUCUUCCGGGGUCAACAGCUCCAAGACUCUAAAACUAGAACAGCAGACCAGCUUCUACCCAGGUCACCAGCUCCGAGACUCUCAAACUAGAACAGCAGCCUUAACUUCUCGCCAAAUCUCCAACUCCACGACCCUUAAACUUGAACUGCAGCACUUGCUCCUCCCCAGGUCCCCAGCUACAGACCCUCAAACUAAACAGGAGCACUGACUUCUGCCCACAUAUCCAGCUCCACGAACCUCAAAGUUAAACUUCAGUACCAACUCCUUCCCGCGUCUCCAGCUCCACGACCCUCAAACUACAAUAGCAACACUGGCUCCCCAAUCCCAGGUCUCCAUCUCCACGACCAUCAAACUUGAGUUGCAACACUGGCUCCACCCAAAUUCUCCAGCUCCAGGAUGCUAACUGUAAUAGCAGCACCAGCUCCUCUGCAGGUCACCAGCUCCAAGACUCUCAAACUAGUACAGCAGCACUGACGCCUGCCCAGGUUUCCAGCUCCAUGAACCUCAAACUUGAACUGCAGCACCACCUCCUCCCUGGUUCUCCAGCUUCACGACCCUCAAACUAGAACAGCAGCACCAGCUCCAACCAAAGUCUCCAUCUCCACGCCUCCAACUUGAACUCCAGCACCAGCUCCUUCCUGGGUCUCAUGAUCCAUGACCCUGAAAAUAAAACAGCAGCACCAGCUCCUCUCUAGGUCUCCAGCUCCACGAACCUCAAAUUUAAAAAGCAGCCCUGGCUCUAACCCAGGUCUCCAGCUCCACCAUCGUCAAACUUGAACGGCAGCACUAGCUCCUCCCAAAGUCUCCAGCCCCACGACCCUAAAACAUGAAGAGCAGCAUUGGCUCCUCCCCAGGUCUUCAGCUUCACAACCCUAACUCUUACAGCAACACCCGCUCCUCCCCAGGUUGCCAGCUCCAAGACCCUAAAACUAGAACAGCAGACCGGCUCCUACUCAGGACACCAGCUCCAAGACUGUUAAACUAGAACAGCAGCACUGAUUUCUCACCAGGUCUCCAGCUCCACGACCCUCACACUGGAACUACAGCAACAGCUCCGCCCAGGUCUCCAGCUCCAGGGACCUUAAACUAAAAUAGCAGCACCAGCUCCUCUGCAGGUCCCCAGCUACAGACCCUCAAACUAGAAUAGCAGCACCAUCUCCUCUCCAGUUCUCCAGCUCCACGACCUUGAAACUAGAAAAGAAACACUGACUCCCCCCCACCACCAAUCUCCAUCUCCAGGAACAUCAAACUUGAACUACAACAGCGGCUCAACCCAAAGUCUCCAGCUCCCCGACACUAACUACAACAGCAGCACCAGCUCCUCCCUGGCUCACCAGCUCCAAGAUCCUCAAACCAGAACAGCAGCACUGACUCCUGCCCAGGUCACCAGCUCCAAGACCCUCAAACCAGAACAGCAGCACUGACUCCUGCCCAGGUCACCAGCUCCAAGACUCUCAAACUAGAAUAGCCACACUGACUCCUGUCCAGGUCACCAGCUCCAAGACUCUCAAACUAGAACAGCAGCACUGACUUCUUGCCAGGUCUCCAGCUCCAUGACCCUCAAGCUUGAACCGCAGCAACAGCUCCACCCAGGUCUCCAGCUCCACAAACCUUAAACAACAGCACCGGCUCCUCCAGAGGUCCCCAGCUACAGACCCUCAAACUAGAACAGGAGCACUGACUCCUGCCCAGAUAUCCAGCUCCACGAACCUCAAACUUGAACUGCAGUACCAGCUCCUUCCCGGGUCUUUAGCUCCGUGACCCUGAAAAUAAAACAGCAGCACUGGCUUUUCCCCAGAUCCCCAGCUCCACGACCCUCAAAUUUAAAAAGCAGCACCAGCUCCUCCCUGGGUCAGCACCUCCAUGACCCUCAAACCUGAACUGCAGCACUGGCUCCUCCCCGGGUCACCAGAUCCCAGACCCUCAAACUAGAACAGCAGCACUGACUCCUCCCCAUAUCUCCAGCUCCAUGACCAUCAAACUUGAAGACUAGCACCAUUUCCUUUCUGGGUCUCCAGCUCCACGACCCUCAGACUUGAACAGCAGUGCCAACUCCUUUCUGGGUCUCCAGCUCCACUAUCUUCAGACUUGAACAGCAGCACCAGCUUCUCCCCAGGUCUCCAGCUCCAUGACCCUCAAACAGGAACAGCAGCACCGGCUCCUCCCUGGGUCUCCAGCUCCUCAAGUCUGAGGAUCAUGGAGCUGGAGACCCAGAAAGGCAAUGGUGCUACUCUUCAAGUCUGAGGGUCAUGGAACUGGAGACCCGGGGAGGAGCUGGUGCUACCGCUGUUCAAGUUUGAGCAUCUUGGAGCUGGAGACCCAGGGAGCCGCCACUCGAACGGUAGCUCCUCCCCCAGUCUCUAGCUCCAUGACCCUCAAACUCGAAGAGUAGCACCAUUUCCUUUCUGGGUCUCCAGCUCCAUGACCCUCAGACUUGAACAGCAGCACCAGCUCCUUUCUGGGUCUCCAGCUCUCCUAUCUUCAGACUUGAAUGGCAACACCAGCUUCUCCCCACGUCUCCAGCUCCACGACCCUCAGACUUCGACAGCAAUCCGGCUCUUCCCCUGGUCUCCAGCUCCAUGACCCUCAAACUAGAACAGCAGCACCGGUUCCUUUCUGGGUCUCCAGCUCCACGAUAUUCAGACUUGAAUGGCAGCACCAACUUUUCCCUGGGUCUUCAGCUCCAUGACCUUCAGACUUGAACGGCAGCACUGGCUCCUCCCCUCUCCAGCUCCAUGACCUUCAGACUUGAACGGCAGCGCCGGCUCCUCCCUGGGUCUCGAACCUGCCCAGCCUGCAGAUUUUGGACUUGCUAGCCUUCAGGAUCACAUUAGCCAAUUCCUUAAACUCAACCUCUUUCUCUGUAUGUAGGAUAUGGACACCUCCUGCUGGCUCUUUUUCCGGAGAGCCCAGUGAACACACCGUGCAUCAGGCUCCAUCAUUCACCAGAGCGUCUUUCCAACAGACUUUGCUGUGAUAUUUCUUAAAUAAAGGUCACUCCAAAGACCCUCACCUCUGGAUUGUAACCAACUCAGUGGCAGACUUAAUCCAUUUCUAUCUGCUGACAUUUCUCACAUGGAAUAGGCUGUUUGACAGAUUGAAGCUGUCUCCCCCCACUCCCCAGGCCAGUGCACACUUAUCUCCCUUGAAUGUUCAUUUUGUGCUCAUUUUAGAGACUGAGGCACAAAGACAGGCAAAUACAAGGUGAAGUCAG
rnacentral:lncRNA from 10 species